AGUGAACGCUGGCGGUAGGCCUAACACAUGCAAGUCGAACGGCAGCACAGUAAGAGCUUGCUCUUACGGGUGGCGAGUGGCGGACGAGUGAGGAAUACAUCGGAAUCUACUUUUUCGUGGGGGAUAACGUAGGGAAACUUACGCUAAUACCGCAUACGACCUACGGGUGAAAGCAGGGGAUCUUCGGACCUUGCGCGACUGAAUGAGCCGAUGUCGGAUUAGCUAGUUGGCGGGGUAAAGGCCCACCAAGGCGACGAUCCGUAGCUGGUCUGAGAGGAUGAUCAGCCACACUGGAACUGAGACGCGGUCCAGACUCCUACGGGAGGCAGCAGUGGGGAAUAUUGGACAAUGGGCGCAAGCCUGAUCCAGCCAUACCGCGUGGGUGAAGAAGGCCUUCGGGUUGUAAAGCCCUUUUGUUGGGAAAGAAAAGCAGCAGGUUAAUACCCCGCUGUUCUGACGGUACCCAAAGAAUAAGCACCGGCUAACUUCGUG
rnacentral:rRNA from 1 species